rnacentral:rRNA from 1 species
UACGGGGGGAGCAAGCGUUGUUCGGAUUUACUGGGCGUAAAGGGCGCGUAGGCGGCGCAACAAGUCACUUGUGAAAUCUCCGGGCUUAACCCGGAGCGGUCAAGUGAUACUGUCGUGCUAGAGUGCGGAAGGGGCUACUGGAAUUCUCGGUGUAGCGGUGAAAUGCGUAGAUAUCGAGAGGAACACCGAUGGCGAAGGCGGGUCUCUGGGCCGAUACUGACGCUGGAGGAGCGAAAGCGUGGGGAGCGAGCAGG